AUACGUAGGGUGCAAGCGUUAAUCGGAAUUACUGGGCGUAAAGCGUGCGCAGGCGGUUUUGUAAGACAGGGGGGAAAUCCCCGGGCUCAACCUGGGGACUGCCAUUGGGACUGCGAGGCUGGAGGGCGGCCGAGGGGGGUGGAAUUCCGCGUGUAGGAGUGAAAUGCGUAGAUAUGCGGAGGAACACCGAUGGCGAAGGCAGUCCCCUGGGCCUGCACUGACGCUCAUGCACGAAAGCGUGGGGAGCAAACAGGAUUAGAUACCCUGGUAGUCCACGCCCUAAACGAUGUCAACUGGUUGUUGGGGAUUUAUUUUCUCAGUAACGAAGCUAACGCGUGAAGUUGACCGCCUGGGGAGUACGGCCGCAAGGUUAAAACUCAAAUGAAUUGACGGGG
rnacentral:rRNA from 1 species